rnacentral:miRNA from 1 species
UUUCGACUUGUCGCCUUCUGGGG